CCUACGGGCGGCAGCAGUGAGGAAUAUUGGUCAAUGGUCGGGAGACUGAACCAGCCAAGCCGCGUGAGGGAUGAAGGUACAGAGUAUCGUAAACCUCUUUUGUCAGGGAACAAAGGCGGGGACGUGUCCCCGGAGGAGUGUAGCCGACGAACUAGCAUCGGCUAACUCCGGGCCAGCAGCCGCGGUAAUCCGGAGGAUGCGGGCGUUAUCCGGAUUUAUUGGGUUUAAGGGGUGCGCGGGCGGUCUGUAAAGUCAGGGGUAAAAGCGCGGGGCUCAACCCCGGCCCGCCGUUGAGACUGGCAGUCUAGAGUUGGAGAGAAGUAUGCGGAAUGCGCGGUGUAGCGGUGAAAUGCAUAGAUAUCGCGCAGAACUCCGAUUGCGAAGGCAGCAUGCCGGCUCCACACUGACGCUGAGGCACGAAAGCGUGGGGAUCGAACAGGAUUAGAUACCCGAGUAGUC
rnacentral:rRNA from 1 species